rnacentral:lncRNA from 1 species
CGCUGGACAGUUACUUUAAUUUCAGGUAUUUAUGUAGACAGGCAGAUGUGACACACUCACUCAAGCAUGCACGUGCGCACACAUAAACACACAAAUGUUUACAUAGACUGGAUGUGUCUGCGUGGCCUGCCUAAUAUAAGUCCAGUGAUUACAAUGUGUUUAACAGGAUUCUCUACCUUUACUAGCCUACUCACAGAGAUAUUUCUAUGGGCUGAGGCUCGUAAUGUUUACAGAGUUCCAUGAAAGCCAUUGCCCUCCCAAUUCCUAGAAUGUCCUCCACAUAGCAGUACCUGGAUAGAUGUUGUGUAACUAACUUCACUGGAGCAUUUUCUCAAUUAUUGUUGGCUGACAGCUGAAUCAAUGCAUGGUGUUAUAACAGUGUUAUCAUCAUCACUCAUCUUUGUCGUAUCUGUUUAACAGCAGGGAAUGGGAUGCAGUGUGAAAGUCCCUCCAGUCAGUCAUUCCUGGUAUGUGUAAGUGCCCAGACUGGUGUGUCUGGUGGCUGGUUCCUCAUCAGGAAGGAGAGGCAUGAUUUCUCAUGCCUCAGCCUUCAGAAGCAGACAUCAUCAAUAACAUGUUUACCGGUACCUCUCCAAACAUACACGUGAUGUGGGUGGACGGGAGACAGAAGUAUUUCCACUGAAUCAGGAAAUGAGGAACGCUGUUGUGUUUAAUUGUAGGGAGGGAGGUAGAGGAAUGAGAGCGAUACUACCCUUCUUCAUGGGUUCUCUUCAUCGUUAGCCCACCGGGGCUGCAGAGAGAGUUUGAUGUGGUGUAGAGGUGAGUCUGUCCUAGCCUCCUGAAUACUUCCCCUCUUUCAGGGGCUGGCUUCCAAACAUACCAGACCUCACCCUGCCUACUGCUAAUUUACACCUGACUCUUACAAUGGCGCUUUCUCAAAUUACACCCUAUUCCCUAGUGCACUACUUAUGUCCAGAGCCCUUUGAGUAAAAUAGUUUUAAUUGACAGCUUCAAAAAUAUUGUGAUGAAUAAAAGCUUUGGUUUAACCCAACAUUUUGUCUCAUAAACUUCAUGUUUCAGUAAAAGGGACUCCUGAAUGAACCGGGUCCAAGGUCCAUACUGUUGGAGAAUCACUUCAACAUGAGGCAAUAUUAGGACUGAAAUGGGGAAAAACAGUUGAGAUCAUCCACAUUCCAACUAAAUCCUGGCCCCUGGGUUUCCACCCUCCCUGGAUGGAAAGUGUAUGUGAGCAGUGUUGUUUCUGCCUGAGAAAGAGGAUGAAGUCCUCAACCAACCUGGUCUCAGUGCAUGUCGUAUUAUUCGGUCUGGAGGCCCAGCCGCUGCCGUCCUUGGGGACGAUGUUAACGUUGGGGUCGUUGCCCUUAUUCUCUGCCUUCAAACUGGGCAGGUUGGCAGGGGGGGGCAUGCGUCGACUGACGGCAACCUUUCCCAAACUCUGGAGCCCAUGUCUGGCAGCAACUGGACCGAGGGAGAGGAGAGGGCAUAGAACAUUUAGACAUUAAGCUAGAAGCAGAAUUUAUUAUAGCAAUCCCAAAUCGACCCCUAGCCCCUGGACAAGUUGAGGCAGACAUGAAGUGUGUAUGUGAGUGAGUGUGUGUUUAGCAUACCUGCAGUUUUCUGGGUCUCCAGAGACUUGCCCUUGUAUGUGUUGAAGAGGCUAAGGGUUGCAUACUUGGUCUUGCCAUCCUUUGCCUUGGUGCUCUGCCCUGACUUCUCUGACAUUUCGCUGGAAACUCAUUGAGUCUGGUCCUCCGGUCUCACCUCCAGAACCAGCCUCCUGCAAUAAAAUAUCAAAAACUUUAUUUAAACAUUGAUGAGUCUGGUUUUAUUAUUACUCAUUG